UAAAGUGUCUGAGUUGCAUUCAGAGGAUGUAUAUUAAAGUUAUACAGGCCUUC
rnacentral:tRNA from 1 species